CUACGGGAGCCAGCAGUGGGAAUCUUGACAAUGGGCGCAAGCCUGAUCCAGCCAUGCCGCGUGAGUGAUGAAGGCCUUAGGNUCGUAAAGCUCUUUCGCCNGNGANGAUAAUGACGGUAUCNGGUAAAGAAACCCCGGCUAACUCCGUGCCAGCAGCCGCGGUAAUACGGAGGGGGUUAGCGUUGUUCGAAUUACUGGGCGUAAAGCGCACGUAGGCGGAUUAGUAAGUCAGAGGUGAAAUCCCNGGGCUCAACCCNGGAACUGCCUUUGAUACUGCUAGUCUUGAGUUCGAGAGAGGUNAGUGGAAUUCCGAGUGUAGAGGUGAAAUUCGUAGAUAUUCGGAGGAACACCAGUGGCGAAGGCGGCUNACUGGCUCGAUACUGACGCUGAGGUGCGAAAGUGUGGGGAGCAAACAGGAUUAGAUACCCUGGUAGUCCACACCGUAAACGAUGAAUGCCAGUCGUCGGGUAGCAUGCUAUUCGGUGACACACCUAACGGAUUAAGCAUUCCGCCUGGGGAGUACGAUCGCAAGUUAA
rnacentral:rRNA from 1 species